UUCAUGGAGAGUUUGAUCCUGGCUCAGGACGAACGCUGGCGGCGUGCCUAAUACAUGCAAGUCGAGCGGACCGACGGGAGCUUGCUCCCUUAGGUCAGCGGCGGACGGGUGAGUAACACGUGGGUAACCUGCCUGUAAGACUGGGAUAACUCCGGGAAACCGGGGCUAAUACCGGAUGCUUGAUUGAGCCGCAUGGUUCAAUUAUAAAAGGUGGCUUUCAGCUACCACUUGCAGAUGGACCCGCGGCGCAUUAGCUAGUUGGUGAGGUAACGGCUCACCAAGGCGACGAUGCGUAGCCGACCUGAGAGGGUGAUCGGCCACACUGGGACUGAGACACGGCCCAGACUCCUACGGGAGGCAGCAGUAGGGAAUCUUCCGCAAUGGACGAAAGUCUGACGGAGCAACGCCGCGUGAGUGAUGAAGGUUUUCGGAUCGUAAAACUCUGUUGUUAGGGAAGAACAAGUACCGUUCGAAUAGGGCGGCACCUUGACGGUACCUAACCAGAAAGCCACGGCUAACUACGUGCCAGCAGCCGCGGUAAUACGUAGGUGGCAAGCGUUGUCCGGAAU
rnacentral:rRNA from 1 species